rnacentral:lncRNA from 1 species
CUCUAUUUGUUCUCGAGGUAUCCUUUUUCUUUUCCUUUUUUUUUUUUUCUGUUUAACUUGGAUCCAGCCUUCUUCAUUUUAACUCUAUAGUGUUAUAAGCAUGGAUACCCUCCACUACCAUUAUCUUAUAGCACUGGUAAACCAAGCACCUCUUCAUAUCUGAUGUGUUCAGUACUGUUUUCAUAUUCAGAUUUGUUAAUGGCAAAAGAUGAAUGCCAACUAGUCAGAGAAGGGCCUCAGGCUUCCCAGAGACAGAUGGCUAGAUUAAUUUUUCUCUGAGUGAUGGCCGAGGAAUGUGAGGUAGGGAGGGAAGAGAGUGUUAUAGGUUAGAGCAGAAUGACAAAAUAACUAUUUCUAGGCAAGAAGUACUACAUCAGGUGGUCCUCAGAGUAUUUUUCAAAGUAAUGAAAUUCAGUCAAUCUACUAUUACCACAAAUGUGUUUUUACAUUUCCAUUUUAAUUGUAGUCGGAACUUUGAAUUCAUUCAUCAACUGACAAGAAAUCCUACCCUCAGACACAGACAUGUAUACAUACAUACAUAUGAGUUUUGGAUUAUGACUAGUACAGCACUUUAAGAUUUCCCAGUUACAUCAAGUCUUGUCUUCAAUAUUGAUUGGAAAUUUUUUUCCUUUCCAUUGAGGUCUGUACCAUAGAGUCUUCCGUUUAUAUUGAGAGUUUGAACAAUUCAGCCGCUAUUGGAACUUUUCCUUAAGCCACAUGAGCAAGAACAAUGUCUCUGACAUAUUUGAGUGCUAGAGAAAGAAGAUAUGGCUGGAGGAGCCAAGACCAAGACUGAAUGUAUAGCUGAGUGCCUUGUUAGAGCUAUAACCUCAUCUUGGAGCAAACACUCUGGAAUUUACACACAUGGUGAAGCAUAUGAAUUAAUGCAGACAUGAAUCAAAGCAUCCAGAAAAGUAAUUGCCAUGCUCAAAUUUUGUGUUGCUGAGGAGGCAGAACCCAUAUUGGUGUGGGCCUCAGAGCUCUCUCUGUGUUGCCUGGGUCUAGGAGGAAGGGUCAGCAACAAAACCCGAGAGACAGUACCCAGGACACAGGCUCUGCCUGCGGCAGUUCUCAACCUGCUUGCCGGAGAGGAGCCAAGGAAACUGCUCUUCCUACUUGUGAGUAUAGCGCAUUGGCUUAUGGGGGAGAGGAACGAAAGAAGGAAGCAGGCAGUCGGGGCUGAGAGGUCAUGGGGCCACAGAGAUGGAGUGCACUAGGACUAGGUUGCUAUCUAAUGCUCUGCUGGCAGGAGUGGCCAACCUGGGGCUCUGUAAAGGGUCUGGGCAUGGAUGGUAGGACCAGUUCAGCGUUGCCCUAGCCAGACUCCAGGUGAGGUGGAGCAAGGCCAGAGAAACCCAGAGUUUCUAUUCUUCCAAUGGGGUCACUUUUUCCUUUGGUAUAACUGGAGAGCCUGGAGAGAAAUCAUCCUAUUUCCCCUCCAUCACUUUGCUCAGAAUGGGAUCCAUUCCUGGGAAUUCCAUUAGUGGGUCCUUCGGCAAGACCACCAUUCUCUCUGAUUCUGGGUCAUCCAGAGGCAGUGGACCACUGACAUUUGGUUAGGGC